GUACACUCCUGCGGGAGGCAGCAGUGGGGAAUAUUGGACAAUGGGCGCAAGCCUGAUCCAGCCAUGCCGCGUGAGUGAUGAAGGCCCUAGGGUUGUAAAGCUCUUUCACCGGUGAAGAUAAUGACGGUAACCGGAGAAGAAGCCCCGGCUAACUUCGUGCCAGCAGCCGCGGUAAUACGAAGGGGGCUAGCGUUGUUCGGAUUUACUGGGCGUAAAGCGCACGUAGGCGGACUAUUAAGUCAGGGGUGAAAUCCCGGGGCUCAACCCCGGAACUGCCUUUGAUACUGGUAGUCUUGAGUUCGAGAGAGGUGAGUGGAAUUCCGAGUGUAGAGGUGAAAUUCGUAGAUAUUCGGAGGAACACCAGUGGCGAAGGCGGCUCUCUGGCUCGAUACUGACGCUGAGGUGCGAAAGCGUGGGGAGCAAACAGGAUUAGAUACCCCGGUAGUCCCAUG
rnacentral:rRNA from 1 species